GGCGCGGUGGCCGAGGGGUUAGGCAGAGGCCUGCAAAGCCUCGUACACCGGUUCGAAUCCGGUCCGCGCCU
rnacentral:tRNA from 1 species